CCUACGGGCGGCAGCAGUGAGGAAUAUUGGUCAAUGGACGCAAGUCUGAACCAGCCAUGCCGCGUGCAGGAAGACGGCUCUAUGAGUUGUAAACUGCUUUUGUACGAGGGUAAACGCAGAUACGCGUAUCUGUCUGAAAGUAUCGUACGAAUAAGCAUCGGCUAACUCCGUGCCAGCAGCCGCGGUAAUACGGAGGAUUCAAGCGUUAUCCGGAUUUAUUGGGUUUAAAGGGUGCGUAGGCGGUCGGAUAAGUUAGAGGUGAAAUCCCGAGGCUCAACUUCGGAAUUGCCUCUGAUACUGUUCGGCUAGAGAGUAGUUGCGGUAGGCGGAAUGUAUGGUGUAGCGGUGAAAUGCAUAGAGAUCAUACAGAACACCGAUUGCGAAGGCAGCAUACCAAGCUACGUCUGACGUUGAGGCACGAAAGCGUGGGGAGCAAACAGGAUUAGAUACCCGGGUAGUC
rnacentral:rRNA from 1 species